rnacentral:misc_RNA from 1 species
AACGAGGCCGACCUGCGGCUGAGUUACCUGCGGAGGGAUCAUUACCUAGAGUUGUAGGCUUUGCCUGCUAUCUCUUACCCAUGUCUUUUGAGUACCUUACGUUUCCUCGGUGGGCUCGCCCACCGAUUGGACAAACUUAAACCCUUUGCAGUUGAAAUCAGCGUCUGAAAAAACUUAAUAGUUACAACUUUCAGCAAUGGAUCU